UGAUUUAAGAUACGAUUGAUAACAUGUACACAUUAUAAAUCCAUAUUCAAUAAAUCAAACAACUGUCCAUUUUUAUCAGUCUGCUGGUAUCCAUGGGGGUUCAUAGAGAUGUUCCUGCUACGCGUGAACCCUUUUCUUUAACAUUCUCAAUUAACAGACCGUUCCCAUACCCCGUCUGAUAUGAGCACCAAAUUACUAAAUCUCAAUACCUCGUCUGAUAUAAGGGUGAAACAGGUUGUCCCCAUACCCGGUCCGAUAUGAGCGCUAAAUUACCAAGUCUCAAUACCCCGUCUGGUAUGAGACAACGUUCACGGUAAGGUUCUCUAUUAUAUCCGGUCCAUCCACCAUCUUUCAAGAUAUUCAGUAAGGCUACCGUUUCAUUUACUCAAUUAAUCACACAA
rnacentral:lncRNA from 1 species